rfam:Schistosoma rodhaini strain Burundi genome assembly, scaffold: SROB_scaffold0018460
GUAAAGGCCCUUUUCAGGGCCACCCACUAUUUGAUUUAAAUUUUUU